rnacentral:piRNA from 1 species
UGGAAGAUUUCUCUCUGAUGUUGGAAGUCA